rnacentral:rRNA from 1 species
UAGGGAAUAUUGGGCAAUGGAGGAAACUCUGACCCAGCAACGCCGCGUGAAGGAUGAAGGUCUUCGGAUUGUAAACUUCUUUUCUUAGGAAAGAAUAAAUGACGGUACCUAAGGAAUAAGCCCCGGCAAACUACGUGCCAGCAGCCGCGGUGAUACGUAGGGGGCGAGCGUUGUCCGGAAUGACUGGGCGUAAAGGGAGUGUAGGCGGUUGUUUAAGUUGAAUGUGUAAUCCCGAGGCUUAACUUCGGUGCUGCAUUUAAUACUGGACGACUAGAGUGUGGGAGAGGUAAGUGGAAUUCCUAGUGUAGCGGUGGAAUGCGUAGAUAUUAGGAGGAACAUCAGAGGCGAAGGCGACUUACUGGAACAUAACUGACGCUGAGGCUCGAAAGCGUGGGGAGCAAACAGG